rnacentral:rRNA from 2 species
CCCCAUGUAGGCCUCAAAUAAUGUGUGACUACCCCCUAAAUUUAAGCA